GUCCACGCCGUAAACGAUGGGUACUAGGCGUCUGGGGGAGCGACCCCCUGGGUGCCGUCGCUAACGCAUGAAGUACCCCGCCUGGGGAGUACGGCCGCAAGGCUGAAACUCAAAGGAAUUGACGGGGCCCGCACAAGCGGUGGAGCAUGUGGUUUAAUUCGACGCAACGCGAAGAACCUUACCUGGGCUUGACAUGCUGGAGAAAGCUUGCAGAAACGUGAGCCCCUUUCGGAGUUCCAGCACAGAUGCUGCAUGGCUGUCGU
rnacentral:rRNA from 1 species